rnacentral:rRNA from 1 species
AUUGAACGCUGGCGGCAGGCCUAACACAUGCAAGUCGAACGAGUGGCGGACGGGUGAGUAAUGACUGGGAAACUGCCUGAUGGAGGGGGAUAACUACUGGAAACGGUAGAUAAUACCGCAUACCAUCGGAUGUGCCCAGAUGGGAUUAGCGAGUAGGUGGGGUAAAUGCUCACCUGGGAGACGAUCCCUAGCUGGUCUGAGAGGAUGACCAGCCACCCUGGAACUGAGACACGGUCCAGGUUCCUACGGGAGGAAGCAGUGGGGAAGAUUGCACAAUGGGCGCAAGCCUGAGGCAGCCAUGCCGCUUGUAUGAAGAAGGCCUUCGGGUUGUAAAGUACUUUCAGCGGUGAGGCGUUACCCGCAGAAGAAGCACCGGCUAACUCCGUGCCAGCAGCCGCGGUAAUAC